rnacentral:lncRNA from 10 species
GGGAUAUUACUUUUAAAGUCACAGGGGGCGUACACCCUGUGAUGUUAUUCCUAACAUCCUGAGAAGAUGUUACUCUUAAUGUCACAUGGGGUGUACACCCUGUGAUAUUAUUUGGAAUAUCCUAUGGGAAUGCUACUCCUAAUAUCACAGGGGGUGUACACCCAGUGAUAUUAUUUGGAAUAUCCAAAAGGGAUGUUACUUUUAAUGUCACAGACAGGGUACGCCCUUUGAUAUUUUUCAUAAUAUCCCAGGGAGAUAUUACUUCACACCAUGUGUGUACACCCACUGUGAUAUUAUUCACAAUACCCUAGGGAGAUAUAUAACUUUUAAUAUCACAGUAGGUGUACACGCUAUGUGUAUAAUAUCACUAUUGUGAUAUUAUUCAUAAUAUCUUACAAAACUAGGACUCCAUAUUAUUCCUAAUAUCCUGGAGGGAUGUUACUCCUCAUGUCACGGGGGUUAAUACCCUGUGAUAUUAUUCGUAAUAUUGCAGGGGGAUGAUACUUUUAAAGUCACAGGGUGUAUACUCCCUGUGACAUUAUUCCUAAUAUCCUAAGGGGAUGUUACUCCUAAUGUCCCAGGGAUGUACACCCUGUGAUAUUAUUCAUAGUAUAUGAGAGGGAUAUUAGUACUAAUGCCACAAUGUGUGUACACUUUAUUAUAUUAUUCAUAAUAUCCUAAAACUACGUUACUCCUCAUGUCAUAGGGGGUGUUCACCCUGUGAUAUUAUUCGUAAUAGUUUUGUGGGAUAUUACUCCUAAUGUCACAUGGGGUGUACACACAGUGAUAUUACUUGUAAUAUUCUAUAGAAAUGUUACUUGUAAAUCACAGGGGCUGUACCUCCUGUGAUAUUAUUCGUAAUAUUCUAGGGGAAUGUUACUCCUAUUGUCACAGGGCGUGUAUACCCCGUGAUAUUACUUGUAAUAUCCUAGUGGGAUGUUACUACUAAUGUCACAAUGCGUGUACACCCUGUGAUAUUAUUUGUAAUAUCCCAAAGAGGUAUUACUACUAAGGUCACAAUGCAUGUACACCCUCUGAUAUUAUCCGUUAUAUCCUCGGGGGAUGUUACUCCUAAUGUCACACGGGGUGUACUCCCUGUGAUAUUAUUCGUAAUAUCCUAGGGGGAUGUUACUUUUAAUGUCACAGGGGGUGUAUACCAUAUGUAUUCAAUGCCUGUGACACGAUCCCUAAUAUCCUAGGGGGAUGUUCCUCCUAAUGUCACAUGGGGUGUACACCAUGUGUGUAUACCUGCUGUGAUAUUAUUCUUAAUAUCCCAGGGGGAUGUUUCUUUUAAUGUCACAAAGGGUGUACAAAGUGUACAAAAGGUCACAGAAGUGUACACCUUGUGAUGUUAUCUGUAAUAUCCUAGAAGGAUGUUACUUCUAAUGUCACAGGGGGUGUACACCCUUUGAUAUUAUUUGUAAUCUCAUAGGGAGAUAUUACUUCAAAUAUGACAGUGGAUUUACACACAUGGCGUAUACCCUGUGAUAUUAUUCAUAAUAUCCUAGGGAGAUACAACUCCUAAUAUCACAGUGGGUAUACCCCGUGUGUGUACACCCUUGAUAUUAGUCUUAAUAUCCAGGGUAAAUAUUACUCCUAGUAUCACAGUGUAUGCACACCCUGUGAUAUUUUUCAUAAUAUUUUAGGGA